rnacentral:lncRNA from 1 species
CCAGAAACGAUGACUUGACCAUAGUCACGUCAUGAGGUGAGAGAUUCCGGGAAGGGGCAGCAAGAGGAGAAAGAAGCGAAGGGCGCCCCAAGGUAAUGUGUGCCCUACACAGGGCUCCUAGCCAUAAGCACUUAUGCAAGUGCGGGGCACAGAGAAAAUUCUGGUAACACUCCUCCCCUCAAUUCUGAUCAGGUCCCAGGC